rfam:Oryza sativa Japonica Group DNA, chromosome 6, cultivar: Nipponbare, complete sequence.
CAUAAAAUAAACUCUAGGUUUCCGUGUCCAAUUUUAACUGUCUGUUUUAUAUGAAAAUUUUUUAUAAUUUGUAUUUUCAUUGAUGUUAGAUGAUAAAGCAUGAUUAAUAUUUUAUGUGUGAUUUGUCUUUUUAAUUUUUUUCAUAAUUUUUUUAAAUAAGAUGGACGGUCAAAUGUUGGACACAGAAACCAGGGUUUGUCUUUUU